rnacentral:lncRNA from 1 species
AAUAAUAUUCAAAUACUACAAAAUGUAAUUCAUAUGAAGCUUUUUUCGAUAAUUGAGUUUUAAGUUCAUAGACAACCGAAAAAUUAUAACGUACAUAUUUACAAGGGGCAUACCCCAGUCAUAACAAAGAUAUCUCGUAUCCGAAAGAUAAUCUAAAAAGACUAACAUAAGAAGCUAACAAAUUUCCUAAUACGCUUGGUUCAAAUGGCAAGGAAAUCUAAUAGUGGUGGUGAAACUAGGCUAAUUUGUGUCAUUUAUUUGUGGGAUGGGCUACAAUAUAAUGGUUUUCUCCUUGUAAACCACACCGAGUCUCGUAGGUUUGUUUAUGAGACUUUUGAGGGGGAACAACCUCAAAUAUAUCACGUUCCUGCUCAUAUGGAAAUUAUGAAUCCAGCUGCUCAAAAUGCCCCUUCACAGUUUUCUGCUUUGCAAACAAGGUCACCUCAAGCGCAAAUAUUAGCGCUACAAAAUUUCCUAUUAAGGCCACAUGAACAGAUCUUUUCAAUCUGGAGGAACCCUAUACAGGCCACAAUCCCUCCCACGAGGUAUGUUCCAACAUUCCAUAUUUGCUCAACUAGUCCUGAACCUGCAGGAUAAGUUUCGGUGCCAUCUAUGGUUCCUCACAGUAUUGUAAACCCUAGGAAUCAAGCAGCAACAUCCAUUUCGCCACCAGCUCUAACCCCUCAACCUCCUAUUAACCCUACACUACUACUUGGACCAACCUCCUCGUCUUUGUCAUUACCAGAGGAUUCUUCUGCAGCAUGCACUGAUUUUUCAAAAUGUUCUCGAGAAGAAUAAUAUUCAAGAAGGUUUGAGAUAACAAUAUGUAUCAGAAGUUCCUGGUUAAGUGGCUUCUUGUCAGGGGAUGACGAUUGAUUUGUGAACAACAGGAACUAAAUACAAUAUCUACAUAAGUUUUUUCAAAUUACGUGAUAAUUAGACAAACUUUUCUCUGUUUUUUAAGUAUUAGUUAAACUUAAUUAUUGACUAUCAUAAAAUUUUCUAGGCAUCACAUACAAAAUGCCUGAAGUUGUUCAUUUCUCACAAUAGCAAAAUAUAUUACGUGAUAACUAGACAAGCAUACAUUGAGAAUACAAAGGACUAGGAAUAGCGUGUCAAUUAGGGUGUGGCUGAAUAUCCUAAUGACAAUAGUCACCAUCAAUCGUUACUAUAAAUGCAAAUAGUGUAAACUAUAAUGUAAUCAUUGGAAAUAAAUGUUUAUGUUUAUAGUUAUGUUUAAGUGCACUAAAAGAUCCAAUCCAAAACAAUUUAAUUAGCUAUAGUAUGGUACAGAAAAAUGAGCACUUGGGGAUAUGAAAUACAAAGAGAUUGAAUGUGAAUGUAUCAAGAUAUUGCAAAAGUUUUGGUUGACAUGAAAAAAGCAAAUAAAAAUUCAACUAAAUCAACCAGUAUUAAAAAAUAGCAAAUAAAAAGCCUUUAAAUACAAGAACAUCCCCUGAUGUUUGAAGAACAUUAACUCAUACAAACUACCCCUACAAGUUUAAAGUUGGACAAAAUUAAUAAUAUGAACUUAAUAAACUUGAGAAAUUUGACAUAAUACGAGAAAUUUUACCAAUGAAACAUGGUAUUCUGCGCAACCAGUCACUGAACAUGAGACUGUUUUGAAAUGCCAUAAACAUCGACCUAAUAAUGCCAGCCUGUCCAUAAACAAAUAGCAACUAGGAUUUAGUACACUUAAUCAAAAGGUAAAACACUUUAAACCAAAGAGACGUACAUUUUUAUUCAACUACAUAAUUGUUGCGUCCUGUGGAAAAUCAAAUUAUAGUCAGAUCGCCCUAAUGCGAUUGAAGAUCUACAUCUGCAUACCUUAUACUCCCACCAUUCCAUAGAAAUAUUCUCAUUUAGCUUUGAUCCUAAUUAAUUUGUGAAAUCCUAAAAUUUAAAUUGUGAUUUAUAUGAAUUUAGUAUCAUCUUUAAAAUAACAAUUCCUUACAUGAUAGCAUUUUUGAGUAAUUUAUAUGAUAUUUAAAAUUAAUUGAAUUCAUGUCAAUUUAAAUCUUAGAAUUUUUCAUAUGGAACACUUAUGGUAGAAUGGAGGGGGUAGUAGACUAUUUGAUUACUCCAUCCAGAAAAAUGAAAAUGUUAUGAUAUAUAUAAGCUCAAACCCCAUUUUCCUCUUGGGGAGGUCCAAGACUAUAUCAAUCAUGUCGUGGUUGAUAUAGUCUUGGACCUCCCCAAGACUAUAUCAACCCCACAUUGAUAUCCCAUACUGAUGUGGACAUGCUCAUAUUGAUAUUCAUAGCAGAAAAAUAAAUUAAUCAAAGUGAAUUUUUUUGAAUAACUACGUAACUUUUGUUCUUUAGAAACUGUACCAAACACAUCAAAAGAUCUCCUAUAACGGAUCCCUGAAUUAAGCAAAUUGAAUCUAGAAAAAAUAAAUGAGUUAAAGAACAUGAUGCCCAACCUUAAAGGAUAAUCGGUUUUCAUCUUCAUCGUCUUCUUCACUAGUUGAGUCAUCUCUGGUUUCAACGCCUCUUUGAUUUAGAAUAAGCGGCAUGAUAGAAGAAAGUUUAGGAUUAGGGUUAGGGAUAAGAAUAGGGGCCGGCUAAGCAUGCAUUUUAUAGUAUCACAUAUCUGUCUACUUACCUAAGACUGAUGACAGAUGUCAA